rnacentral:rRNA from 1 species
GAUGAACGCUGGCGGCGUGCCUAAUACAUGCAAGUCGAGCGAACAGAUGAGGAGCUUGCUCCUCUGACGUUAGCGGCGGACGGGUGAGUAACACGUGGAUAACCUACCUAUAAGACUGGGAUAACUUCGGGAAACCGGAGCUAAUACCGGAUAAUAUAUUGAACCGUAUGGUUCAAUAGUGAAAGACGGUUUUGCUGUCACUUAUAGAUGGAUCCGCGCCGCAUUAGCUAGUUGGUAAGGUAACGGCUUACCAAGGCAACGAUGCGUAGCCGACCUGAGAGGGUGAUCGGCCACACUGGAACUGAGACACGGUCCAGACUCCUACGGGAGGCAGCAGUAGGGAAUCUUCCGCAAUGGGCGAAAGCCUGACGGAGCCACGCCGCGUGAGUGAUGAAGGUCUUCGGAUCGUAAAACUCUGUUAUUAGGGAAGAACAACUGUGUAAGUAACUCUGCACGUCUUGACGGUACCUAAUCAGAAAGCCACGGCUAACUACGUG